rnacentral:rRNA from 1 species
GACGAACGCUGGCGGCGUGCUUAACACAUGCAAGUCGAACGGAAAGGCCCUGCUUUUGUGGGGUGCUCGAGUGGCGAACGGGUGAGUAACACGUGAGUAACCUGCCCUUGACUUUGGGAUAACUUCAGGAAACUGGGGCUAAUAUCGGAUAGGAGCUCCUGCUGCAUGGUGGGGGUUGGAAAGUUUCGGCGGUUGGGGAUGGACUCGCGGCUUAUGAGCUUGUUGGUGGGGUAGUGGCUUACCAAGGCUUUGACGGGUAGCCGGCCUGAGAGGGUGACCGGCCACAUUGGGACUGAGAGACGGCCCAGACUCCUACGGUAGGCAGCAGUGGGGAAUAUUGCACAAUGGGCGGAAGCCUGAUGCAGCAACGCCGCGUGCGGGAUGACGGCCUUCGGGUUGUAAACCGCUUUCGCCUGUGACGAAGCGUGAGUGACGGUAAUGGGUAAAGAAGCACCGGCUAACUACGUG